GAGUAAGAUAUCAGUGAAGGUUGUAUCAUUACGACAGAAUUGGCUACAUUCUCCCGGUUCAGUAUGAUCCUGAAGUAUGCCGUCUCAUCUGGGCUGUUAUUGAAGACCUGAACAAAUUGGGAACGCCGUAAAUGAAACAUGAACUGAGGGAAUAUUGAAAACCGAGGAGACAAGCUGAAAGAAGAUGGGCUGUCCUUCUGGUAAUCUCCAAAUCGUGAACAUAUAUGUAUUAAAGCUUUAUCUAGCCAUCUUAUCGGGUCAAACUCAGCCUC
rnacentral:misc_RNA from 1 species